rnacentral:rRNA from 1 species
AUUCCAGCUCCAAUAGCGUAUAUUAAAGUUGUUGCAGUUAAAAAGCUCGUAGUUGGAUUUGUGGCGGAUUGUGGCGUCCUCUUUUGGUACUGUCACGAUCUGCCAUCCUUGGGUGGAGCCUGUGUGGCAUUAGGUUGUCGUGCAGGGGAUGCUCAUCAUUUACUGUGAAAAAAUCAGCGCGUUCAAAGCAGGCUUAUGCCGUUGAAUGUAUUAGCAUGGAAUAAUAAGAUAGGACCUUGGUACUAUUUUGUUGGUUUGUGCACCGAGGUAAUGAUUAAUAGGGACAGUUGGGGGUAUUCGUAUUCCAUUGUCAGAGGUGAAAUUCUUGGAUUUCUGGAAGACGAACUACUGCGAAAGCAUUUACCAAGGAUGUUUUC